rnacentral:misc_RNA from 1 species
CUACCACUCAAGCCUGGCUUGGUAUUGGGCAACGUAAUUUUUUAGGUAAAAUCACGCGCCUUAAAUAUAGACGGCAGCAAACACUAGUUCUAAGCGUAGCAGUAAAGCAUUUCGCUUUAAGAGCCUAGGAGUAUUGUUCACCGAAUAGCUAUUACUAUA